rnacentral:rRNA from 1 species
UACGGAGGGUGCGAGCGUUGUCCGGAAUCACUGGGCGUAAAGGGCGCGUAGGUGGCCUGUGGAAGUCUGCGGUGAAAGCCCGGCGCUCAACGCCGGGUCGGCCGUGGAUACUCUCGGGCUCGAGCUUACUAGAGGCAGAUGGAAUUCCGGGUGUAGCGGUGGAAUGCGUAGAGAUCCGGAAGAACACCGGUGGCGAAGGCGGUCUGCUGGGGUAAUGCUGACACUGAGGAGCGAAAGCGUGGGGAGCGAACAGG